AUUGAACGCUGGCGGCAGGCUUAACACAUGCAAGUCGAGCGAGCGGCGGACGGGUGCGUACUGUCUGGGAAACUGCCUGCUGGAGGGGGAUAACUACUGGAAACUGUAGCUCAUACCGCCUACCAUCCUCUGUGCCCAGAUGGGAUUAGCUAGUCGGGGGGGUACAGGCUCACCUAGGCAACGAUCCCUAUCUGGUCUGAGAGGAUGACCAGCCACACUGGGACUGAGACACGGUCCAGACUCCUACGGGAGGCAGCAGUGGGGAAUAUUGCACAAUGGGCGAAAGCCUGAUGCAGCCAUGCCGCGUGUGUGAAGAAGGCCUUCGGGUUUUAAAGCACUUUCAGCGAGGAGGCGUUACUCGCAGAAGAAGCACCGGCUAACUCCGUGCCAGCAGCCGCGGUAAUAC
rnacentral:rRNA from 1 species